CGACCGGAGCAGAAGGCAGGCACUUAACCAUCUGAGCUACCUAGGCGCCCCCGUUCAAGGCAGCAUCUAGAUCAUCAUUCUCUACGAUGGCAAAUUUAAAAGUGGCCCACCAGAUCCAGCCGAAGAGCUGCACUCACAGUAGAAUAAGGAAGAGAACAAGGGUCCAUGUUAUUCCACCAUUACGAUUCUGAUAGUGCUGCUAUAAUGAGGCAAAACAAGAGCUUCACACAAGAAGAUCCAAGGCUAAGGCAGCCUUUCCUGACUCUGUGCCCUUGCGACCAAGGUGAGGGAGAAGAGAGAAGCUUUCUCAGGUGGAGUCACCAAGCAGAAAUGGGUCAUCUGUGGUAAAACAUCACCCUGCCCAGGACGGGGAAAUGACAGGACUCUCGGAGUGCUGCGGGAGUGUAGCUGUUGAUCUCUCUCUCAUGGUGGCUUUGAAAAUCCACGUUUUGUAUUUAACAUCAGGGUCACCCAGUCUUAUUUUUCCUUUCAUGGUUUUCAAGCAAUGACGUGGAAUCUGGGGACUGACUUCAUGAAGGGGCAGCAUGGUAGAGAGGAAGGCCCUGACAUCAACCUGCCGGGGUGGCUUCUGUUGACAUUCAUGAAUGCCCGGUAGGGGAGACUCUCUUCCACUCAUUAUGGUAAUCCCGAGAGCAUCUCUGAGGCUUUGUUGCAAUUUCAGGUCUGUUUGUUUGUUUGUUUUUUAAAGAUUUUACU